GACGAACGCUGGCGGCGUGCUUAACACAUGCAAGUCGAACGGAAAGGCCCUGCUUUUGUGGGGUGCUCGAGUGGCGAACGGGUGAGUAACACGUGAGUAACCUGCCCUUGACUUUGGGAUAACUUCAGGAAACUGGGGCUAAUACCGGAUAGGAGCUCCUGCUGCAUGGUGGGGGUUGGAAAGUUUCGGCGGUUGGGGAUGGACUCGCGGCUUAUCAGCUUGUUGGUGGGGUAGUGGCUUACCAAGGCUUUGACGGGUAGCCGGCCUGAGAGGGUGACCGGCCACAUUGGGACUGAGAGACGGAGCAGACUCCUACGGGAGGCAGCAGUGGGGAAUAUUGCACAAUGGGCGGAAGCCUGAUGCAGCAACGCCGCGUGCGGGAUGACGGCCUUCGGGUUGUAAACCGCUUUCGCCUGUGACGAAGCGUGAGUGACGGUAAUGGGUAAAGAAGCACCGGCUAACUACGUG
rnacentral:rRNA from 1 species